GCCGCGGUAGCUCAGUGGUAGAGCAUUUCCCUGAAGAGGAAGUGGUCGUCGGUUCAAUUCCGACCCGCGGCA
rnacentral:tRNA from 2 species